GUUAUUGUUUAAUUUCGCUUCAUGUGCUUUUCAAUGUGUCAUUUGGUCUGGCCAUGUAGCGCCUGAGUCGAUAUGAAGUUGAACUGAAGCAAACACUACACCGGCAUCCUCCAGUUCAACUUCAUAUCGACUCAGGCGCUACAUGGCCUAAACAAACGACACAUUGAAAAGCACAUGAAGCGAAAUUAAACAAUAA